GCUCGUCUAGCUUAGUUGGUAGAGUGCACGGCUCUUAACCUUGUGGUUGUGGGUUCAAGUCUCACGGUGGGCG
rnacentral:tRNA from 1 species